AGAGUUUGAUCAUGGCUCAGGACGAACGCUGGCGGCGUGCCUAAUACAUGCAAGUCGAGCGGACUUGAUGGAGAGCUUGCUCUCCUGAUGGUUAGCGGCGGACGGGUGAGUAACACGUAGGCAACCUGCCUGCAAGACCGGGAUAACCCACGGAAACGUGAGCUAAUACCGGAUAUUUCAUUUCCUCUCCUGAGGGGAUGAUGAAAGACGGAGCAAUCUGUCGCUUGCGGAUGGGCCUGCGGCGCAUUAGCUAGUUGGUGAGGUAACGGCUCACCAAGGCGACGAUGCGUAGCCGACCUGAGAGGGUGAACGGCCACACUGGGACUGAGACACGGCCCAGACUCCUACGGGAGGCAGCAGUAGGGAAUCUUCCGCAAUGGGCGAAAGCCUGACGGAGCAACGCCGCGUGAGUGAUGAAGGUUUUCGGAUCGUAAAGCUCUGUUGCCAGGGAAGAACGUCCGGUAGAGU
rnacentral:rRNA from 1 species